rnacentral:rRNA from 1 species
CCUACGGGAGGCUGCAGUGGGGAAUAUUGGACAAUGGGGGCAACCCUGAUCCAGCCAUGCCGCGUGUGUGAAGAAGGCCCUCGGGUUGUAAGCACUUUCAGUGAGGAAGAACGCCUGGUGGUUAAUACCCAUCAGGAAAGACAUCACUCACAGAAGAAGCACCGGCUAACUCCGUGCCAGCAGCCGCGGUAAUACGGAGGGUGCGAGCGUUAAUCGGAAUUACUGGGCGUAAAGCGCGCGUAGGUGGCUUGAUAAGCCGGUUGUGAAAGCCCCGGGCUCAACCUGGGAACGGCAUCCGGAACUGUCAAGCUAGAGUGCAGGAGAGGAAGGUAGAAUUCCCGGUGUAGCGGUGAAAUGCGUAGAGAUCGGGAGGAAUACCAGUGGCGAAGGCGGCCUUCUGGACUGACACUGACACUGAGGUGCGAAAGCGUGGGUAGCAAACAGGAUUAGAUACCCUAGUAGUC